AUCAUCUCUCAGUCUUUAAUGUCGUUCGUCUGUAAUGUGUCUAGAGUGUGGAUGAUGGGAUGGGUGGGGGGUGGUCGGUGAGCAUGUUGUGUCUUUCAGUCACCUUCUUCCCGCCUGUAUCUUCUAUGGCCCCGUCUCACAGUGCCUAUUGGCAUGAGUGUGGGGUUGUGGGGGGGUGUCCUUGCGUCUUAGUGUAGUCCUGUUUAGGGUUUGAUCCCUAGUGUCAG